rnacentral:lncRNA from 1 species
UCCAGCUAAAGUCUUUACACAGGUGGGUGGUAAUGAUCCUCCUGCCAUCUGCUACUGCAAUUGCAGUGGCUGAAAUUUGCAUUAAUGGUAAUUUUAGCUCUUCAGCUACCUCUUAUCCAUGAAGCUAUUGGUACUAUCACUGUCAAAUAGGAUUACCAAAUACCAGUUGCCUGUUUUUGUGAGUUCCUAGAACCUUGAUUGAUCAUACAACCUGGCUGCCUUCAACAGCAUGGACUAAAGAGAAUCAUUACCUUCAAAUUAGCCAGUUCCUCCAUUGCAUCUGAAACCUCAUGCCAUUCUUCCCCCACUUCCUCUGGCUCACAUACUUGCAUAUCUAACUUGGUUUUGAGUUUACAAUGGUGGACUGGGAAGUACUUUUCUCCACACUUGAGACAAGGCUUUAGUUGUUCUUAAAUAUUUGACUUGGUUUGUUAACAUUUCUAGAGAUUGAUUGGCUGCUGACGAGCUCAUGUUGGCUUAUGCUAGUGAUACUGGCAGUUGAGACUUGAGAGUUUGAUCUGGUGAAGUUGGUUGGUGACUUCUGAUUAAAGCGGGGGUGUUUACAUGCCCAUGGAAACACUGGUUCAUUGGAAAAGGCUUACUGGUCUGUAAUGAGGCACUACUGGUAGACGUACGUCUGUAAACAGUGAAUAUGUGUUGAAUGCUUGUCUGAAUUUCCUGUAAUUUCUUGCAAUCUUGCUGUUUCAAAGGCUUGGUAUAAAGUUCCUAGUUUCAUCAUCCUUACCAUGGAUCUGAUUUCAUCCUGGAAACCGUCAGUACAUCCAAAUAAAAGUAGGCUUCACCUAACUCUGGUAAAAACCCUCUCCAUUCUGAUCCAGAGAUCCUCAGAACAAUGUCCUUCUUGUCUCGUCCUCAUAAGCUCUUCAGCAAUGUCCUUUAGCCCUUGAUCUUCAAAUCUAGCGUAUAACUAAAAAUCAGCUUGCAAUCCCUACCCUUUGCUCCCUUGGAACUCCAGAAACCUCAAAG